rnacentral:tRNA from 2 species
GGUGGACGUAGCCAAGUGGAUCAAGGCAAU